rnacentral:rRNA from 1 species
UGGGGAAUAUUGGACAAUGGGCGCAAGCCUGAUCCAGCCAUGCCGCGUGAGUGAUGAAGGCCUUCGGGUUGUAAAGCUCUUUCACCGGAGAAGAUAAUGACGGUAUCCGGAGAAGAAGCCCCGGCUCACUUCGUGCAGCAGCCGCGGUAAUCCGAAGGGGGCUAGCGUUGUUCGGAAUUACUGGGCGUAAAGCGCACGUAGGCGGAUCGAUCAGUCAGGGGUGAAAUCACAGAGCUCAACUCUGGAACUGCCUUUGAUACUGUCGAUCUAGAGUAUGGAAGAGGUGAGUGGAAUUCCAAGUGUAGAGGUGAAAUUCGUAGAUAAUCUGAGGAACAGCAGUGGCGAAGGCGGCUCACUGGUCCAUUACUGACGCGGAGGUGCGAAAGCGUGGGGAGCAAACAGG